rnacentral:lncRNA from 1 species
AAAAAUUUUUUCUUGAGCUAACCUAUUCAUCCUAUUCUUAUUAAUAUGACCUAGCCUACAGUGCCAAAGAUAGGCAUCCGUGACAUCAACUAUUCUAGGAUAUUUAUUAGACAUGUACAUUAUAUUAGGCCAUGAUAUAACAUAAAUAUCAUUGUUCAAUUAUCCACAGAUCAUAGUAACAUCAUUCAAAAUGAUAUCACAAAAUUUUUUUUAUUGAAAUUUCAUAAUUUGCUUUGGCCA